GCCUUGCUAGCUCAAUCGGUAGAGCGUGAGACUCUUAAGUUAUCCUAGGGUUAAUCUCAAGGUUGCGGGUUCGACCCCCGCGUGGGGCU